rnacentral:snRNA from 1 species
GUGCUCACUUCCGCAGCACAUAGACUAAAGUUGGAAUGAUACAGAGAAGAUUAGCAUGGCCCCUACGCAAGAAGGACACUCAACCCUGUGGAGCGUUACAUUAUUUU